rfam:Magnaporthe poae ATCC 64411 unplaced genomic scaffold supercont1.12, whole genome shotgun sequence.
GCCCGGUUAGCUCAAUCGGUAGAGCGUGAGACUCUUAGCCGCGAGGCAUCUCAAGGUUGCGGGUUCGACCCCCGCAUCGGGCU